rnacentral:rRNA from 1 species
UGGGGAAUCUUGCACAAUGGGGGCAACCCUGAUGCAGCGACGCCGCGUGAGCGAUGAAGCCCUUCGGGGUGUAAAGCUCUUUCGACGGGAACGAUAAUGACGGUACCCGGAGAAGAAGCUGCGGCUAACUACGUGCCAGCAGCCGCGGUAAUACGUAGGCAGCAAGCGUUGUUCGGAGUUACUGGGCGUAAAGAGUGCGUAGGCGGUCCUGUAAGUUUGGUGUGAAAUCUCCCGGCUCAACUGGGAGGGUGCGCCGAAGACUGCAGGGCUUGAGUAUGGGAGAGGUAAGCGGAAUUCCUGGUGUAGCGGUGAAAUGCGUAGAUAUCAGGAGGAACACCUGUGGUGUAGACAGCUUACUGGACCAUAACUGACGCUGAGGCACGAAAGCGUGGGUAGCAAACAGGAUUAGAUACCCCCGUAGUCC